rnacentral:rRNA from 1 species
CCUACGGGUGGCAGCAGUGAGGAAUAUUGGUCAAUGGUCGGGAGACUGAACCAGCCAAGCCGCGUGAGGGAGGAAGGUACAGAGUAUCGUAAACCUCUUUUGUCAGGGAACAAAGGCGGGGACGUGUCCCCGGAUGAGUGUACCUGAAGAAAAAGCAUCGGCUAACUCCGUGCCAGCAGCCGCGGUAAUACGGAGGAUGCGAGCGUUAUCCGGAUUUAUUGGGUUUAAAGGGUGCGCAGGCGGUCUGUUAAGUCAGCGGUCAAAGCCCGGGGCUCAACCCCGGCCCGCCGUUGACACUGGCAGGCUCGAGUUGGAGAGAAGUAUGCGGAAUGCGCGGGGUAGCGGUGAAAUGCAUAGAUAGCGCGCAGAACUCCGAUUGCGAAGGCAGCAUGCCGGCUCCACACUGACGCUGAGGCACGAAAGCGUGGGUAUCGAACAGGAUUAGAUACCCCUGUAGUC